GCUAGACUACUGAAAUAGUAGGCAUGAGGUGAGGCAUUUAAGAAUCAGAAAAGAUCAAGCAGAAUUAUAAUGAAGACUAGUGUAUAAAGAUCAUUCAUGGAAUUGUGUGCAUUUAGGGGAAGGCAGAUUGCCAAGACUAUCUGAUCAUACCCAGAAUUUCACACUGGAUCACUGUGUGUAUGACAUCAUGCUAUCAUACCGGAUAUACAAGAAGAGACAAUAUACUGGAGAUUAUAGUAAUUCACACAUACUUCAAGAGGAGAAUGAACCAACAGACACUGAGACCCACUAACAUCAAACAAUAUGUCCUGGCAGGCGGGAAUUUUCUUUUAAAGGACACAUGAUUGUAUGUUUUACUUCCUUUCACAAUCAAGGAAGCAAAACACUUUUUAGGACUCUUUAUGUUUUGAAGGAAGGCAGCCUGAGAAAACUUCAUCAGCCCACAAAUGAUGUAACCAAAAAGGCGGCUGGCUACCUUUGAGAGAGGCCCAAGGAAGAAAGGAAGAAGUGUGAGGCAGAGUCUGCUAUGCUCACACAGUCCUGCCUCUUGCACCAUAUCACCAAGCAGAGCCUAUGUGUUUGGAGAUGCUGGGUGAACAAGAUGCCAUGUGCAAGUUAAUGAAGAGCUCCCGUGACGCCUUCACACAUGGGCAUCCCUAGAGUUCUGGAGCAAAGCCAUGCCAAGCACAGUAUAGAGAGCUUGGUAAAAAUAAAGCAUCGUGAGAUGGGUGCUGCCCUACCCUCUGAACCAUGGAAAAGAAGACCUGGCCGGAAAUAAUGGUGAGUCAAAAGUGGCACAUGCAGGCCCUGGCCUGAGUCAGCUACACACCAAAUGCCCCUGACCGGCCCGUCAACUACUCCAGUUACACUCUGGUCUCCCUGAGUCAUACUAUGUUGGACAGGGCUGGGAAGCAGGGGUGACAUUUAUGACCCACUCAGAAGAAAAAGUCUACUUCAAAAUGACUGUGCAGAAAGUUCUAACAGAGGUACCAAAGAGUAAAGGCCCUACAAAUGCCA